rnacentral:rRNA from 1 species
GUUAGGAAUAUUGGACAAUGGGCGCAAGCCUGAUCCAGCCAUGCCGCGUGAACGAUGAAGGCCUUCGGGUUGUAAAGUUCUUUAGCCGAUGAUUAUAAUGACUGUAGUCGGAAAAUAAGCCCCGGCUAACUUCGUGCCAGCAGCCGCGGUAAUACGAAGGGGGCGAGCGUUAUUCGGAAUCACUGGGCGUAAAGCGUGCGUAGGCGGUCUCGUAAGUUAGGAGUGAAAGCCCAGGGCUCAACCUUGGAAUUGCUCUUAAUACUGCAAGGCUAGAAUCUCGGAGAGGAUAGCGGAAUUUCCAGUGUAGCAGUGAAAUGCGUAGAUAUUGGAAGGAACACCAGUGGCGUAAGCGGCUAUCUGGACGAGUAUUGACGCUGAGGCACGAAAGCGUGGGGAUCAAACAGGAUUAGAUACCCUUGUAGUCC